UAUCUAGUUGGCUGUCAGUCACGUGAAACUCAAGUGCAUGACACCAUACUGGGUAGA
rnacentral:pre_miRNA from 1 species